rnacentral:tRNA from 1 species
GUGGUGGCUCAGUGGCAGAGAGCGUUUGCCUUGCACCUAUGAGGCCCUGGGUUGGAUCCUCAGCACCACA